AAAGAACACCAAGAGGCCAACAAAUCAUAUACAAAUAGCGAUUACUUGCAACACAGAAACUCACUAAAUUCCAAAGCUGCUAGCGUAUAGAGACAGAAACCAAAGAUCUAGAACACUAAGCCAAUUACCUUAGAGCAUUGUCAGAGAAAAUUCCUCUCUCAAAGCCUCGCUGUAGCUCUCUUUCUAUACAACACAAAAGUGGCAAGAGGGAUCAAUUCUAGGCCUUUUU
rnacentral:misc_RNA from 1 species